rnacentral:rRNA from 1 species
UACGUAGGGUGCAAGCGUUAACCGGAAUUACUGGGCGUAAAGCGCGCGCAGGCGGUUUUAUAAGACAGUUGUGAAAUCCCCGGGCUCAACCUGGGAACUGCAUCUGUGACUGUAUAGCUAGAGUACGGUAGAGGGGGAUGGAAUUCCGCGUGUAGCAGUGAAAUGCGUAGAUAUGCGGAGGAACACCGAUGGCGAAGGCAAUCCCCUGGACCUGUACUGACGCUCAUGCACGAAAGCGUGGGGAGCAAACAGG